GAUGAACGCUGACAGAAUGCUUAACACAUGCAAGUCAACUUGAACUUCGGUUUGGGUGGCGGACGGGUGAGUAAUGCGUAAAGAACUUGCCUCACAGUUAGGGACAACAUUUGGAAACGAAUGCUAAUACCUGAUAUUAUGAUUUAGGGCAUCCUAGAAUUAUGAAAGCUAUAUGCGCUGUGAGAGAGCUUUGCGUCCCAUUAGCUAGUUGGAGAGGUAACGGCUCACCAAGGCGAUGAUGGGUAGCCGGCCUGAGAGGGUGAACGGCCACAAGGGGACUGAGACACGGCCCUUACUCCUACGGGAGGCAGCAGUGGGGAAUAUUGGACAAUGGACCAAGAGUCUGAUCCAGCAAUUCUGUGUGCACGAUGAAGUUUUUCGGAAUGUAAAGUGCUUUCAGUUGGGAAGAAAAAAAUGACGGUACCAACAGAAGAAGUGACGGCUAAAUACGUG
rnacentral:rRNA from 1 species